AAGUAAACCAGGUCUCCUGCCCAGGGCAGGGCAGAUUGAGCAAGGCUCAGACCGUCUUGCUUAUCCUCUUUGUGACCCAGUAAAGGAUUGUGAGGCAGAGGAGGUGGUGACACAUAAAAACACAUCUGGAGGUACUGCUGCAUCUCAGGGCAGGAGGUACAGAGGGGACAAAGAGAGGGGUCAGCUGAGGGGCAUCAAAGAAGAAAGGACUGAGGUGGUUCAGGUGAAGAAUGGACUGAGGGGGCUUGAGGGAGAAUGGGCUGAGGGGACUCGGGGGAGGAUGGACUGAGGAAACUCGGGGGAGGAUGGACUGAGGGGACUCGGGGAGAAUGGACUGAGGGGACUUGGGGGAAAAUGGACUGAGGGGACUCGGGGGAAAAUGGACUGAGGGGACUCAGGGGAAAAUGGACUGAGGAUACUCUCGGAGGAUGAACUGAGGAUACUCGCGGAGGAUGCACUGAGGAUACUCGGGGGAGGACGGACUGAGGGGAUUCGGGGAGAAUGGACUGAGGGGACUUGGGGGAAAAUGGACUGAGGGGACUCGAGGGAAAAUGGACUGAGGGGACUCGCGGAGGAUGCACUGAGGAUACUCGCGGAGGAUGCACUGAGGAUACUCGCGGAGGAUGGACUGAGGGGACCCGGGGGAGGAUAGACUCAGGAUACUCAGAGAGGAUGGACUGAGGGGACUCGGGGGAGGAUGGAUUCAGGAUACUCAGAGAGGAUGGACUGAGGGGGCUCGGGGGAGGAUGGACUCAGGAUACGCAGAGAGGAUGGACUGAGGGGACUCAGGGGAGGAUGGACUGAGGAUACUUGGGAGAGGAUGGACUGAGGAUAUUCGGAGAGGAUGGACUGAGGGGACUCGGGAGAGGUUGGACUGAGGAUACUCGGAGAGGAUGGAUUGAGGGGACUCGGGGGAGGAUGGACUGAGGAUACUCGCAGAGGAUGGACUGAGGGGACUCGGGGGAGGAUGGACUGAGGAUACUCAGAGAGGAUGGACUGAGGGGACUCGGGGGAGGAUGGACUGAGGAUACUCGGAGAGGAUGGACUGAGGGGACUCGGGGGAGGAUGGACUCAGGAUACUCGGAGAGGAUGGACUGAGGGGACUUGGGGGAGGAUGGACUCAGGAUACUCAGGAUGGACUGAGGGGACUCGGGGGAGGAUGGACUCAGGAUACUCAGAGAGGAUGGACUGAGGGGACUCAGGGGAGGAUGGACUGAGGAUA
rnacentral:lncRNA from 1 species